UCCGUAGGUGAACCUGCGGAAGGAUCAUUAUCGUUGGGGCUUCGGCCCCGUCGAGAUAGUACCCUUGCCUUUUAUUAGCGUACCUGUUUGUUUCCUCGGUGGGCUCGCCCGCCAAUGGGGACCAAAACUUAACUCUUGUAAUAUCUGUCUCAGUCUGAACUAAAUUUUAAUUUAAAACUUUCAACAACGGAUCUCUUGGUUCUGGCAUCGAUGAAGAACGCAGCGAAAUGCGAUAAGUAGUGUGAAUUGCAGAUUUCAGUGAAUCAUCGAAUCUUUGAACGCACAUUGCGCCCUUUGGUAUUCCUUAGGGCAUGCCUGUUCGAGCGUCAUUUACACCUUCAAGCUCAGCUUGGUGUUGGGCGUCUGUCCCGCGGCCCUUGCGGCCUGGGACUCGCCUCAAAUCUAUUGGCGGCCGGUACCGUGGCUUCGAGCGCAGCAAAUUAGCGACCUCAUCGCCUUUCGGUAGCUGGCUCCCAGAAGCCAUCUUUCAUGUUUUGACCUCGGAUCAGGUAGGGAUACCCGCUGAACUUAAGCAUAUCAAUAACGGCGGAAGGUAUCGACUGCCAAGGGCACACAGGGGGGGGGGAUA
rnacentral:rRNA from 1 species